rnacentral:tRNA from 1 species
CCUGGUUGCUCAGAUGGUAAAGCGUCUGCCUACAAUGCAGGAGACCAGGGUUCAAUCCCUGGGUCAGGA